UCAUUCUGAUUAAAAAACAAAACCCAAUUCCAAUUCCAAUCCCAAAAUUUCCUUAGUCAAACAAACAAACAAGUCACUGCUUUUUAUAGCAACUUCACUUUGUAUUUUGAACUUCAUUUCUUCCAACAAUGGCUUCCACUUUAACCAUCACUCCUCCCAAACAAUUCUUCUGGCUUUCAUCUGUGUUUUCUGGCAUCAUUAUCUGCAAAAUUGUUUAUAAAUUAACUGGAAUGGUUAGCCAUAUGUGCUUCAAGGGAUAUGGGAAUCUCAGCAUUCCAAAAAAAGUUGAGUGGAAUAACAGGGGCUUUUCAACAUUUCAUGCUGUCAUGGUAGCAUUUGCUUCUCUUUACUUGUUACUGUUGUCUGAUCUUUUCAGUGAAGAUUAUAAUGAUGAGUUAAUCAUCAAUCGGACGUCUACGGUUUCGGAAACAUUACU